rnacentral:rRNA from 1 species
UACGAAGGGGGCUAGCGUUGCUCGGAAUCACUGGGCGUAAAGGGUGCGUAGGCGGGUCUUUAAGUCAGGGGUGAAAUCCUGGAGCUCAACUCCAGAACUGCCUUUGAUACUGAGAGUCUUGAGUCCGGGAGAGGUGAGUGGAACUGCGAGUGUAGAGGUGAAAUUCGUAGAUAUUCGCAAGAACACCAGUGGCGAAGGCGGCUCACUGGCCCGGUACUGACGCUGAGGUGCGAAAGCGUGGGGAGCAAACAGG